rnacentral:rRNA from 1 species
GGGAAACCCAGUGGGGUUGUUCAAAAUACACUUGGCUGAAUGCAUGGGUGAAUGGAGGUAACCAGUGGAACUUAAAUAACUCAGUACAACGAGGAAAAAAGAACUAGCGGGUUUCCCCCAGUAGCGGCGAGCGAACGGGCGGGAGCACAGAGCCUGAGUCAGGAUGUGUGUGAGUGGAGGCGAUUGGGAAGGUGCGCGAGACAGGGUGGACAGGCCCGUACACAAAAGCGCAUGUGCUGUGAGCUCGAUGAGUAGGGCGGGACACGUGGUAUCCUGUCUGAAUAUGGGGGGACCAUCCUCCAAGGCUAAAUACUCCUGACUGACCGAUAGUGAACCAGUACCGUGAGGGAAAGGCGAAAAGAACCCCGGCGAGGGGAGUGAAAAAGAACCUGAAACCGUGUACGUACAAGCAGUGGGAGCACAGGUUUACCUGUGUGCCUGCGUACCUUUUGUAUAAGGGGUCAUCAACUUAUAUUCUUUAGCAAGGUUAACCGUAUAUGGGAGCCGGAGGGAAACCGAGUCUUAAUUGGGCGUUAAGUUGCAGGGUAUGAACCCGCACCCCGGUGACUCAGCCAUCGACAGGUGCAAGUUUGGGUAACACUAACUGAGGUCACAAACCGACUAAGUUUGAAAGAUUA